rnacentral:SRP_RNA from 2 species
UGUCAGUCUCCCCGCGGUGAUAGCUCGUGAACCCCGCCAGGCCCGGAAGGGAGCAACGGUAGCGAACGAUUCAGGCGCCGGGGCCCGGCUGGCAGGU